CUACGGGAUGCAGCAGUCGAGAAUCAUUCGCAAUGCGCGAAAGCGUGACGAUGCGACGCUGCGUGGAGGAUGAAGGCCCUCGGGUCGUAAACUCCUGUCAGGAGGGAAAAGCCGGCACUUGGUCAAUACCCUUGUGCCCCGAUGGUACCUCCAGAGGAAGCCACGGCUAACUCUGUGCCAGCAGCCGCGGUAAUACAGAGGUGGCGAGCGUUGUUCGGAUUUACUGGGCGUAAAGGGUGCGUAGGCGGCGUGCAAAGCUGGAUGUGAAAUCCCGGGGCUCAACCCCGGAACUGCAUCCGGAACUGGCAUGCUAGAGACCAGGAGGGGAGAGCAGAAUUCUAGGUGUAGCGGUGAAAUGCGUUGAUAUCUAGAAGAAUACCGGUGGCGAAGGCGGCUCUCUGGAAUGGUUCUGACGCUGAGGCACGAAAGCGUGGGGAGCAAACAGGAUUAGAUACCCGCGUAGUC
rnacentral:rRNA from 1 species